GUUUCCAUCUUAUGUAUGAGGGGGUGUGUGGGUUCUCGGGUCGGUGGCGGGCUGACAGUCUUCUCUGGGUCAGAGGGUUCUCUGUGGCUGGCUUUGACAAGCUGCUGCUUCCUCCCUCCGGGUCCUCACCCAGCCUCUUUUUGAACUGCCCACUCAGCCUGCUUUAUUUCCAGCCUCUAGAUCUCUGUAACCCUGCCCGGACCCUCCUGCUGUCAGAGGAGCUGCUGCUGUACGAAGGGAGGAACAAGGCUGCCGAGGUGACACUGUUUGCCUAUUCGGACCUGCUGCUCUUCACCAAGGAGGACGAGCCUGGCCGCUGCGACGUCCUGAGGAACCCCCUCUACCUCCAGAGUGUGAAGCUGCAGGAAGGUUCUUCAGAAGACCUGAAAUUCUGCGUGCUCUAUCUGGCAGAGAAGGCAGAGUGCUUAUUCACUUUGGAAGCGCACUCGCAGGAGCAGAAGAAGAGAGUGUGCUGGUGCCUGUCGGAGAACAUCGCCAAGCAGCAACAGCUGGCAGCAUCACCCCCGGACAGCAAG
rnacentral:sRNA from 1 species